AUUGAACGCUGGCGGAAUGCUUUACACAUGCAAGUCGAGCGGCAGCGCGGGGGCAACCCUGGCGGCGAGCGGCGAACGGGUGAGUAACAUAUCGGAACGUACCCAGUCGUGGGGGAUAACUAUCCGAAAGGAUAGCUAAUACCGCAUACGUCCUGAGGGAGAAAGCGGGGGAUCGCAAGACCUCGCGCGAUUGGAGCGGCCGAUAUCGGAUUAGCUAGUUGGUGGGGUAAAGGCUCACCAAGGCGACGAUCCGUAGCGGGUCUGAGAGGACGACCCGCCACACUGGAACUGAGACACGGUCCAGACUCCUACGGGAGGCAGCAGUGGGGAAUUUUGGACAAUGGGGGNAACCCUGAUCCAGCCAUUCCGCGUGAGUGAAGAAGGCC
rnacentral:rRNA from 1 species